rnacentral:lncRNA from 12 species
GGGGGGGGGGGGGGGGGGGGGGGGGGGGGGGGGGGGGGGGGGGGGGGGGGGGGGGGCGGCUCCUCACCCCAGGACCCGCAGUUCUGUCGGGAAAACUCCCGAUGUGUUCCUGUUUCGUCAAUAUCAAAAGGUCAAACACUUUUGGAGCGCCCGGGUCGUGUGGCCGCCGUUCCCGGGGACCUGAACGUGGAAAGGGCGAGAUGGAAAAAUCCCCCGCGCUUUCCAGGAUGGAUUCGCAGAAGAGGCAAAAUCGUUUGCUGAGCAGCGGCGGAGACGUGGGGAAGGUGAAGUGUCGGGGCAGCAGCUUUCCAGAGGAGCAUCUCCACACCUCUCCCUGCAGGAUGGAGCCCCAGGUCAGAGCGGGGAUACCCAGCUCUGCUGCUUACAAAUAUGACACGUGCGCUCAGUGA